rnacentral:rRNA from 1 species
CCUACGGGUGGCAGCAGUAGGGAAUCUUCCACAAUGGGCGCAAGCCUGAUGGAGCAACACCGCGUGAGUGAAGAAGGGUUUCGGCUCGUAAAGCCCUGUUGUUGGAGAAGAACGUGCGUGAGAGUAACUGUUCACGCAGUGACGGUAUCUAACCAGAAAGUCACGGCUAACUACGUGCCAGCAGCCGCGGUAAUACGUAGGUGGCAAGCGUUAUCCGGAUUUAUUGGGCGUAAAGCGAGCGCAGGCGGUUGCUUAGGUCUGAUGUGAAAGCCUUCGGCUUAACCGAAGAAGUGCAUCGGAAACCGGGCAACUUGAGUGCAGAAGAGGAGAGUGGAACUCCAUGUGUAGCGGUGGAAUGCGUAGAUAUAUGGAAGAACACCAGUGGCGAAGGCGGCUGUCUGGUCUGCAACUGACGCUGAGGCUCGAAAGCAUGGGUAGCGAACAGGAUUAGAUACCCCAGUAGUC